AGAAGAACAAUGGAAGCAU
rnacentral:sRNA from 1 species